AUUUUUGUAGAAUCUUAUCCCAAUAUAAGCUCUAAUCUUUGGCAAAUGGACAACAGUGUAUUUGUAACUCGUUAAAGAAAGCUGUGGGUUGCAUUUGUGGUCGAGAUUCGAUGUUUUUCAAGCUUGACUUGGCUCAAACUUUAUGUUGUAUUUCACACUCCAUCUUGGUAUAAAUGUUGCAUCAGCUGUAUCGAUUUGUUUAGAAAUUGCUUGGAAUUCCUCUGGUUUCUCUUGUUUAAG
rnacentral:lncRNA from 1 species